rnacentral:rRNA from 1 species
UACGAAGGGGGCUAGCGUUGCUCGGAAUCACUGGGCGUAAAGCGCACGUAGGCGGAUUGUUAAGUCAGGGGUGAAAUCCUGGAGCUCAACUCCAGAACUGCCUUUGAUACUGGCGAUCUCGAGUCCGGGAGAGGUGAGUGGAACUGCGAGUGUAGAGGUGAAAUUCGUAGAUAUUCGCAAGAACACCAGUGGCGAAGGCGGCUCACUGGCCCGGUACUGACGCUCAUGUGCGAAAGCGUGGGGAGCAAACAGG